GGCCAUUUGCUUGUCCGAGGUUAGGAGUUACAGUACCGACAUCUACAGUACCCACUGUUACAACAAUGUCACAGAUCAAAACAGCCACCCAAGUUGAAUACAAACAAAGAAACCUAAACCUGCAACAAUGUUGCAGAACAAAGAACAAAUAUUAUAAUAAAACUAAAGACCAAUCCAGAAUGGUCAAAAUGCAAGCUAAGCAUUUUGACCAUUGAUAUGAAAUAAGUUCUAGCUAUAAGUUAGUCUUAAGUCAUUGUUCAUGGAAUAAAGUUCAAAACCGGGAUCACUGCAUUUUAUUUUUUACAAAUUAUUACUGGCGCAGUCGGUAGGAUCGGUAUCAGUAUCGGUAUUAAUUGAUUCCGAAAACAAAAUUGAACAAAUACAAUAUACCGGAUUCUAAAAAGUGAACGUGAAGUUUCGUUUUAUAAUGAAUUCGGAUAACGAAGUGACUCUUUAAUAAUGAAUGUAAACGUGAAGUUUAAUUAAAAUUAAAAAAGGAUCACAUGAGAACAAAGAAAAUAUACCGGAUUCUAAAAAAAGCAGAUGUAAACGUGAAGUUUCAUUUAGUAUAGAAUUCGGACAACGAAGUGAUUUCCUAAUGAUUAAUAUAAACGUGAACUUAAGAACUCAAACAGAGCGAUUCAUAUGAUAUCAAUAUAAACGUGAAGUUUAUUUGACAAAGAAUUGCAUAAGAACUUACAAGCGAUCGCUUUAUCCAAACGGAAUAAUAGAAGCAUCAACGCCAUAUCCCGCAAUACAACCCCAAGAAAGAUAACCACUCACCCAGACAACAAUCAACACAGAAGCAGUGACAGAAAUCUUGCCCCGAAGGAAGCGAAGAAAGGAUCCAUUGGGAUCCGAUUAUGCAGAUUUAAACACCGAAGAGAGCAUUCCCAAAAAAUUGGAUAUUCAAAAGGGCACGAAUGCCAAUGAACAAAACCACACUCCCUUAAUUGAACUCAGCAAUAACGAUAGACUUCUGGAUUUAUGCGGCAUUGACAACAACUUUAGCUCACAACUUAGCGAUGACAACAAAGCAACCGAUCAGAAACAAAUAAAUUCGUUAGGACAAAAUGCUAGGAGCUCAAAAAUAUCUAUGGCACAUAAACUAAAAAAAAAAAACAAGUGGACACAAAAACUAAUAUUUCUGUAUCAGAUAAUUUAAACUCUAUAAAAAGCGCAAAACAAAAAACAUGGAUUGAGCUGUUUGCCGACCUGGAUCCACUAUGCAACCUGGAAGUAUUCGAUCUUAAAAUAAAUGGAAAUUUAAAGAGUUCACAACAAACAUAAAGUUGAUCACAGUGCAGUUUUACAUCACCAACAGGAUUAGUAAUGGACCAUAUAUUAAAUAAAUAAUAUCUUAAAUGACAAAAAUAA